AGCGAACGCUGGCGGUAGGCCUAACACAUGCAAGUCGAACGGCAGCACAGUAAGAGCUUGCUCUUACGGGUGGCGAGUGGCGGACGGGUGAGGAAUACAUCGGAAUCUACUUUUUCGUGGGGGAUAACGUAGGGAAACUUACGCUAAUACCGCAUACGACCUACGGGUGAAAGCAGGGGAUCUUCGGACCUUGCGCGAUUGAAUGAGCCGAUGUCGGAUUAGCUAGUUGGCGGGGUAAAGGCCCACCAAGGCGACGAUCCGUAGCUGGUCUGAGAGGAUGAUCAGCCACACUGGAACUGAGACACGGGCCAGACUCCUACGGGAGGCAGCAGUGGGGAAUAUUGGACAAUGGGCGCAAGCCUGAUCCAGCCAUACCGCGUGGGUGAAGAAGGCCUUCGGGUUGUAAAGCCCUUUUGUUGGGAAAGAAAAGCAGCAGGUUAAUACCCCGCUGUUCUGACGGUACCCAAAGAAUAAGCACCGGCUAACUUCGUG
rnacentral:rRNA from 1 species